UCUUCCUUCACCUAUCUUUAACCUCACGCGACUUUCUUCACCCCCCUCUCUCUCUCUGAACUCUCCUCCGCUCUUUCUCUCUUAAUCCAACCUCACCACUCCCUUUUUCUCCGAUCAGCCACCGCCCUCUCUGUCACUGGCAUCACCCUCGCCGGCGUGAUUCUGUCUUCUCUUCGUCGUCAAACUCCUCUCACGUCUACAUAUCUCUCCUUGUUUCAACUGAGAUCCAGCGUGUUGGUGGUUCAGAUCCGGCAUGCCAGAGGAGAGGAGGCGGUUUAAGAUGAACGAUACGGAAUGGGAUGUGUGUUGAAGACCUUGACAUGUUGAGGAAAUGAAGAAUGGAGGUGGUGGUGGUUCAAAUCCGGCCAUGGCGUCACCGGAUUCAGAGAAAUGUUGGCUGUUUAUUUUCAAUACAUGUGCAAAUUGCAAGCGAGCAAUUUCCAGAUACUUUCUCUAACAUCUCUCUUGGUUGAACAAUCUCCCUAACCUAAUUCAAAUUUAUUUCCUCCACACCAAAACAAAGCAUUGAAUGAUUUAAUUUCAGUUUAAGAAAAGUUUUGAUGGAAAGGGGCAAUAAAAAAUAUACAUGAUUUCAUCUUGUCCAUCUUUAUUCUUUAUCAAUGGUAGAGAAGAGAAAACUAACUUGACAUAAAUUACAAACAUAAAAUUUAACCAUGUUGAAUUAAAUUACAAAAUUGAUUUUCCCUUUAACCCAGUUGAAUUCUGUUGUAAUUGGGUAGGAUUAGAAAAGCUUUGAUGGAAAAGUGGUGGUGAUUGUGCGGUGGGGAAUUGGUGAAGACUUGC
rnacentral:lncRNA from 1 species